rnacentral:rRNA from 1 species
CUACGGGUGGCAGCAGUGGGGAAUAUUGCACAAUGGGCGCAAGCCUGAUGCAGCCAUGCCGCGUGUAUGAAGAAGGCCUUCGGGUUGUAAAGUACUUUCAGUAGGGAGGAAGGUGGUUAAGUUAAUACCUUAAUCAUUUGACGUUACCUACAGAAGAAGCACCGGCUAACUCCGUGCCAGCAGCCGCGGUAAUACGGAGGGUGCAAGCGGUAAUCGGAAUUACUGGGCGUAAAGCGCAUGCAGGUGGUUUGUUAAGUCAGAUGUGAAAGCCCUGGGCUCAACCUAGGAAUCGCAUUUGAAACUGACAAGCUAGAGUACUGUAGAGGGGGGUAGAAUUUCAGGUGUAGCGGUGAGAUGCGUAGAGAUCUGAAGGAAUACCGGUGGCGAAGGCGGCCCCCUGGACAGAUACUGACACUCAGAUGCGAAAGCGUGGGGAGCAAACAGGAUUAGAUACCCGCGUAGUC